rnacentral:rRNA from 1 species
GACGGAGGAUGCAAGCGUUAUCCGGAAUGAUUGGGCGUAAAGCGUCCGCAGGUGGCAGUUCAAGUCUGCUGUCAAAGACCGGGGCUUAACUUCGGAAAGGCGGUGGAAACUGAAGCGCUAGAGUGCGGUAGGGGUAGAGGGAAUUCCCGGUGUAGCGGUGAAAUGCGUAGAGAUCGGGAAGAACAUCGGUGGCGAAAGCGGCGCACUGGACCACAUCUGACGCUGAGGCGCGAAAGCUAGGGGAGCAAACAGG